CUUUGAUCUUUUCAGAGUCAAUAAAUUAAAGUACCAGUCAAGUACUGGGAUCAAUGUAAUUGACUUGUCCCCUUCCCCUCAAAAUUGUUUCUGAUUGUGCCUAAUGUUCUUAAAUUAGAAACAAUGAUUAUCAAUCAUCAUAAUUAUUCAUGAUUAUCAUUCAUCACUUGGUGGGUUGAUAAUAUAUCUGUUAUAAACUGCCUUAUCAUUAAUGAGCCUUGUACCU